GACGAACGCUGGCGGCGUGCUUAACACAUGCAAGUCGAACGGUGAAGCGCCUUCCUUUUUGGUGGGUGUGGAUGAGCGGCGAACGGGUGAUUAACACGUGAGUAACCUGCCCCCUUCUUCUGGAUAACCGCAUGAAAGUGUGGCUAAUACGGGAUAUUCUGGGUCUGUCGCAUGAUGGGUCUGGGAAAGAUAUUGUUUCGGUGGGGGAUGGUCUCGCGGCCUAUCAGCUUGUUGGUGGGGUGAUGGCCUACCAAGGCGGUGUCGGGUAGCCGGCCUGAGAGGGUGGGCGGUCAAACUGGGAAUGAGACACGGACUAGACUCCUACGGGAGGCAGCAGUGGGGAAUAUUGCACGAUGGGGGCAAGCCUGAUGCAGCGACGCCGCGUGAGGGAUGGAGGCCUUCGGGUUGUGAACCUCUUUCGACAGUGAAGCAGGCCUGCCUCGUUUGUGGGUGGGUUGACGGUAGCUGGAUAAGAAGCGCCGGCUAACUACGUG
rnacentral:rRNA from 1 species